rnacentral:miRNA from 14 species
CAAAAAUAUUCAUAUAUAUGUGUGUGUGUGUGUGUGUGUGUGUGUGUGUGUGUAUACAUACAUAUACAUAUAUAUACAUACAUAUAUAUACAUACAUAUAUAC